rnacentral:rRNA from 1 species
UACGUAGGGUGCAAGCGUUUGUCCGGAAUUAUUGGGCGUAAAGAGCUCGUAGGCGGUCUGUUGCGUCGGCUGUGAAAACCCGGGGCUCAACCCCGGGCCUGCAGCCGAUACGGGCAGACUAGAGUUCGGCAGGGGAGACUGGAAUUCCUGGUGUAGCGGUGAAAUGCGCAGAUAUCAGGAGGAACACCGGUGGCGGAGGCGGGUCUCUGGGCCGAUACUGACGCUGAGGAGCGAAAGCGUGGGGAGCAAACAGG